AUUUGACAAUAGGACAUCGAUUUUUGAUGUUUGCAGUCUCAUCUCUAUGAUGGGAAGCCCUUCAAUGAUCAUUUCUGUUAAGGUUAAGCCACGUAAUGUAGAGCACAUUCAUUUAAAAUCAUGUAUUGCUAUUAUUUGAAUGUAAAAUCGAAAAUAGUUGUCACGUCUGUUAGGUUGUUUUGAUUUUUUUUGGGUGGGUUUAUAUAAAUCUAGAAUGAUAGGAGGGGGAAGAUAUUCGGUUUUGUACAGCCUAUGAUUUUUUGAGAAGGAUGUAAAUUUUGUUGUCUAUCUUCAUUUCAAUGGUUGAUUUUUUUAUUUAUUUUUCAUCUGGGUGAUUCCAGCUACGUGUGUGGCAUUAUUUUGUCAGGAGCACAAUUAUUUGGAGGAAGUAAUAGGAGUUUGGUGUUGGGAAGAUGUGCAGUGGUGAAUAGACAGAUAUUUGAGGAUGUGAGGGGUGAGGAGGUGUGGAGAGGGUUCGUUUUUGGGCUUCUCUUUGGGUAUUGGUGUCGUCAAAGUUUAGGAAGAGUUUUGCAACUAUGGCACGUUGAAAUUGAUUUUGUAGGUUCUCGUUGUCCUAUUGUCUAAAAUAACAGUAUUAAUCUGAAUUAGAACAUUUAGGUAUAUGUUGUAAUCGUAGCAAUGAAAUGCUUUCUUGUAAACUUGAUUGUUUGAUAGC
rnacentral:lncRNA from 1 species